CCCUUUCAAACCGGAGCAUCGCUGCGAACCCCAACAUGUCGCCGCAAGCCCCGAUGACGCCCCAGAAAGUGAAAGCCAUACGUAGUUUCUUCGAACACUACGCAAGACAGACCACAGCCCACGAGGGGGUCAUUGCCGGAAGGGCGAAGAACAUCCGCCGCUACCUUUCAGAAAAAGUUAGUGAGCUGCGUCGGCGAGAAAGAGGUGGGGGUGUAGAAGAAACGCUGGAUUGAGGAAGAGCCUCAAACGUCACCACGUCACUGGCCAUCCCCUUCAUUUUUUUUAUAUAAUUAGAUGACAUUUUUUCCCUCCAAAAUUAUGCUUCAAUAAAGUAGUUAUGACAGCAACAUUGUUAAACUUAUCUUUGUACCCUUUUUUCUGAGUAAAGCAACAGUUAGUAAACUUAGUAAACAGGUGCUCUGGUAUCACCACAACAAAGCCUGA